GACAAAGACAUUGCUGGCCUUCUGACAUUCAUCCACAGCUCGCUCCACUGCUGUGGACUGACUGGAGUCCAACCCAACGACUUUGUUAGGAAGACCUGCCUCAAGGUGUAUGAUGCAGAGCACAGUCAUAUGCAGAGCUGCAGAGAGAACAUUACAACUUUCUCUGACAAUAAGGCACCAGUGGUGCUGGGCUGCUUCGUUGGAACCGGCGCUAUUUUGAUUGGAGAAGUGAUUUGCACCUGCUUGCUCACUUCAAAGAUUUAUCGGGACUCUGAUUCUCGGUAAAUUAUUCAGACUCUCUGCAUCGUCACCUUGGAUUCUCGUCAGCCUUUCAUCAGGACCUGGAUGCCUUCAUGUCCCCCAUUGCUUUCUCCAUCUCAGUCAUCUUAGUUUUUCAUUCUUAUUGCACAAUCCUGACAAAUUUGCAUCUCCAUGAAGAAUUACAGAUCCCUUCUUCAGUCAUGGCCAAAGGGUUGACAAUAACACGAGUUAUGUUUAGCAAACUGAAUAUUUCUAGAUUAUUUUUUGAAUAAAACCUUUAGUUGUAACCUUCAGUUACAUCAGACCAGUCUCUCGCCGCUAGUAAUUCUGCACCUGAAAGAAGAGUUUUCUGGGUCAUCAACAACUACAAGGUUGCAGAACAUGUGGCUUCAGGAUGUACAAAUGUGUCCAACAGUAAGGGCCGUCUCCUGUGAUAAGGGCAGAAAAGAAAGUGGUCUCUGAUCGGGACAAACACCAAAAACAGACUGAUAAUCCACCAAAGUACCAGGAUACACAGUAGAACACUAGUGCAGUUGUUUUUCCUGAUGAAUCCUCCAAAUUUUUGUAACAGAGAAAUAAUUUUUCCUGGAAAAGGUAAGCGACAUUGAAGGGCGGACUUAAAAUGCUGCCAAAGAACAAUGUCAUGAAUAAACACAUUGAUUAAAACAUCCUCCAUGAUCAACUUCUUCCUACCACCCAGGCAGUCUGGUGAUCUGUAUAUUUGAGAAUGAAGAACUGCGUCAACGUUACACAGAUUUUUAGCAUUCCUACACGUUUUUAAGUUCCCAGUCCUAUAUGUUCACUUAAAAUAUAAAGUUCAAAAGGAAUUCAAAACAGAUGUUCUUACAGCUGGAAGGGUUUAAAUUAGAAACCGGGAAAAACAAAUGAAGAAAAGAACCGUGGGAACUCCAAGUCGAGUGUUUCAAUGACCAGAACAUUGACAUUUAAACCAACAACAUAUCACCAUCAGUCAGAAUUUGACACAGAUGCCAGAAAAAAAGAUUAAAAUUGCACAAAGUAUAAGAAUGAUCAUCAAUGUAAAUAUUCACUUCAUUAAUUUUGAUUAAUGUUGGACAUCUUUUAAAUCUUUUAGUUUCAAUCACCGUUUACCUUCCUCUUCCUGGGUCAGUAUAUCAGAUUCAAGUCCUGAUCUGUUUAGGUAAACGCAGUUUUUUUUUUUUAUAUUAG